UAGAGGCUGGGUUGGGCAGAGCAGGGGUGGAUUCUCAAAUCUAAUUUUUCAGAUGUAUAUAUACCGGAAUGCCAAGACCUGCCACCCAAAGAUGGGGUAAAUAUAUAGUUAGAAUGAAAGAACAGGGUGCCUCUUGACCACAUUCUGAGCUUAGAUAUUUGUUUCCACGACCAACGCUGACCUCACGGUCCUUUCACACAGACCUCCGUUCCCGGUUGGUUUUGCACUUGGCAAUGUAGUUGGGAUGUAUCUGGCGCAGAACUAUGAUGUUCCGAACAUUGCAAAGAAGAUAGAAGACAU